rnacentral:lncRNA from 1 species
AAUCAUCAACUAAAAUGGAGUUCUAAGACUACCAAUCAUUUUGAUAAAAGAUCCCUACUAUUCAAGAAAACAAUAACCAAAAAACUAAAAAUACAACAAGCCACUAGUAGGUACAUAGGAAAAGCCGACCACUACAUAAGCCACUAGUAGCUGAGAGAACGAGCAACGUUUACUACAUAUGAACAUGUUGCCAUGUCCGGUUUGCAACUUUGAGACCUUCAAGCUUUCUUUAAUGCCAUCGAUCUUGCACGUAGAUUUAAGAAAAUCCCCCUACAAAUCGAAAACGAGAAAGGAUAUAUCAAUGAUAUUGUGAAAUCAUUGAGGUGGGAAUGACGUUGAACAUAUCGGAACCAGUAACAAGUAUAGGUAAAUGUAGC